rnacentral:rRNA from 1 species
UGGGGAAUAUUGCACAAUGGGCGAAAGCCUGAUGCAGCAACGCCGCGUGAGUGAUGAAGGUCUUCAGAUUGUAAAGCUCUGUCUUUUGGGACGAUAAUGACGGUACCAAAGGAGGAAGCCACGGCUAACUACGUGCCAGCAGCCGCGGUAAUACGUAGGUGGCGAGCGUUGUCCGGAUUUACUGGGCGUAAAGGGUGCGUAGGCGGAUGUUUAAGUGAGAUGUGAAAUACCCGGGCUUAACUUGGGUGCUGCAUUUCAAACUGGAUAUCUAGAGUGCAGGAGAGGAGAAUGGAAUUCCUAGUGUAGCGGUGAAAUGCGUAGAGAUUAGGAAGAACACCAGUGGCGAAGGCGAUUCUCUGGACUGUAACUGACGCUGAGGCACGAAAGCGUGGGUAGCAAACAGGAUUAGAUACCCUGGUAGUCCACGCCGUAAACGAUGAGUACUAGGUGUAGGAGGUAUCGACCCCUUCUGUGCCGCAGUAAACACAUUAAGUACUCCGCCUGGGAAGUACGAUCGCAAGAUUAAAAC